rnacentral:rRNA from 1 species
UUGUGGUUAAAAAGCUCGUAGUUGGAUCUCAACAGCCUUGAAGCGGUUAACUUUGUAGUUUUACUGCUUUAUAGGCUGUGCUUUUGCUGGAGGUUUAGGGGUGCUCUUGAUCGAGUGUCUCUGGAUGCCAGCAGGUUUACUUUGAAAAAAUUAGAGUGCUCAAAGCAGGCUAAAAUGCCUGAAUAUUCGUGCAUGGAAUAAUAGAAUAGGAUGUCGAUCCUAUUUUGUUGGUUUUCGGGACUCGACAUAAUGAUAAAUAGGGACAGUCGGGGGCAUUUGUAUUCAAACGACAGAGGUGAAAUUCUUGGACCGUUUGAAGACAAACUACUGCGAAAGCAUUUGCCAAGAAUGUUUUCAUUAAUCAAGAACGAAAGUUAGAGGUUCGAAGGCGAUUAGAUACCGCCCUAGUUCUAACCAUAAACGAUGCCAGCUAGCGAUCUGCCUGCGUUUUUACUGUAGACUGGGCAGGAAGCUUCCGGGAAACCAAAGCAUUUGGGUUCCAGGGGAAGUAUGGUUGCAAAGCUGAAACUUAAAGGAAUUGACGGAAGGGCACCACCAGGA